GGGUUGUGAGGUUAAGCGACUAAGCGUACACGGUGGAUGCCCUGGCAGUCAGAGGCGAUGAAGGGCGUGCUAAUCUGCGAUAAGCGCCGGUAAGGUGAUAUGAACCGUUAUAACCGGCGAUACCCGAAUGGGGAAACCCAGUGUGACUCGUCACACUAUCAUUAACUGAAUCCAUAGGUUA
rnacentral:rRNA from 1 species